GGGCGGAGACUGAGGAAGAUGGCGCCGGAAGAUUUCGAGUGUCUUUCUUACAGUAGAACAAUGCUUUGAUCGCCUGGUCUUCAUUCUCCUGUAAUCUCACUUGUACAUGUGGUGCUGGGAAUAAAACAACGAAAUCAGAGGUGCAUUUAUGGCAAUAACCAUUCCUUAUUUUCUUACUGCAUCCACAUGAAACAUCAUACGCUGCAUCAUCAAUUCUUUCAGAAGUGGCUGAAAUUCUAUGAAAAAUGGCAGUUCCAUUCAUAGAUGUAAUUAUGUAUACCCUAUAUUUAUGACAUUCGCUCUGAGACGCCGUCCGGUGUGGAGGGCGCUGACAUUCCUCAGAUAACUCUGUAAAUCUGUAAGGUGAUUAAUGAUGUGGGAGGCAGGAGGGGAGAUGGAAGAGAAUGUAACUCACUAAGACUAGAGAUAAAUGGAAGGUGGUGUUGUAAGUUGGUUAAAAUGGCAUAGAAGAAAUGCUUAUGAAGCUUCUUCUCCAAACAUACUCGACCCUUGCACAUCCUUGUACCCAUAUCUUCUAGAUAAGCAGACCCUUUUGAGACAAAGCAGCUUGCUCAUUAUUCUUCAAUACAGGACAUCUUGCUUCUCCCUUCCAAGGCUGGAGCCUGUCUGUCUGGUAGAAACAUUUAUAAAAACCGCGGUCUAACUUAAGUUAGUUAACUCCAGAGCAUCACUGAGUGGUUGCAGAGAACAACGAAGAUUGAAAGCUUGGACAAAGAAGACAGAAGACUUGAGAACUAGGAAAAUCUUAAGGCUUGAUCACUUGAAGAACUAAAGUUUGGUUUAAAGUUUCGCCCCCUCUCUUAUUUUCUGGUCCCUGCUGAAGACCUUUCUUUUCGAUCGGGCCUUUGGUCACCUUCCUCCCCCUCCUGCGGCCCCGGGAUUCGCUACUGUGAAGCUCUCUGAGACGCCGUCCGGCGUGGAGGGCGCUAUAUAAAUCUAAGUUGUUGUUGCUUGCUGUAAAGACAAAGUGCCGAACCUGCAACGCUCGGUAGUAUUGCUCUGUUUUAUUAAAAUAGACGUUAUUUUUUCAACACA